rnacentral:lncRNA from 1 species
GUACCGGCUAGUAUCGCGAGAUCAGGAAGGUGGCCGAGUGUGUCGCCGCGGCCAUCAGGCACUUCUCCUUCCUGCCCUUGUAUGAAGAAGGAUGUGUUUGCUUCCCCUUGUGCCAUGAUUGUAAAUUUCCUGAGGCCUCCUCAGCCCUGCAGAACUGUGAGUCAAUUAAACUUCUUUCCUUUAUAAAUUACCCAGUCUUGGGUAUGUUUUUAUUAGCAGCAUGAGAACAGACUAAUACAGAUAUCUACUCCCAUCAUUCAACAAACAUUUUACUGGGUGCCCUAUCCAGUUAAUAAAGUUAGGAAAUUAAAUAAAAGGCAUGCAGAUUUUCAGAUGAUAUGAUUGUCUAUGCCAAAAAUUUCAAGGAAUUCAUAAGCAAAUUCCAAGUACUAAAAAGUGAGUUUAAUGAGAUUACAGGGUACAGGGUUCAACACACAAGAAUCAAAUGUAUUUCUUUAUACUAGCAAUGAAUAAUUGGCAACUAAACAUUUUUAAAAAAUUUACAUUAGCUCCAAAAAAUGAAACACAUAGGUGUAAGUGAAACAAAGCAUGAACAGGGUCUGUAUGCUGAAAAUUACAAAAACUUAGUGAAAUAAAGCAAAAAAGACCUAAAUAAAUGGAGAGAUACACAGUUUUAUGGAUUGAAAGAAUUAACAUAGAAAAAAUGUAACUCAGCUGGGCGCAGUGGCUCAUGCCUGUAAUCCCAGCACUUUGGGAGGCUGAGGCGGAUGGAUCACCUGAGCUCGGGAGUUCGAGACCACCCUGACCAACAUAGAGAAACCCUGUCUCUACUAAAAAUACAAAAUUAGCCAGGCAUGGUGGCUCAUGCCUGUAAUCCCAGCUACGGAGGCUGAGGCAGGAGAAUCACUUGAACCCGGGAGGCAGAGGUUGCAGUGAGCUGAGACUGUGCCAUUUCACUCCAGCCUGGACAACAAGAGCGAAACUCAGUCUCAAAAAAAAAAAAAGAAAGAAAAGAAAAUAUGUAACUCUGCACAAAUUGAUCUAUAGAUUUAAUGCAAUUCCAAGCAAACCUCAGGAGUAUUUUUACAGAUCCAGACAAGCUGAUUCUAAAAUUUAUAUGGAAAGUCAAGGGAACUGUAAUAACCAAAACAAUUUUGAAGCAGACUAGUAAAGUUGGAGAAAUCACACUAUCAGAUUUUAAGAUUUAAUAUAAAGCUGUAGCAAUCAAUUCAGUGUGAUAUUGGCAAAAGGAUAGACAUAGAUCAGUGGAACAGAGAAGCCAGAAGCAGACCCACACAAAUAUAUUCUAGUUAUUUUUCAGAAAGUUGCAAAAGCAAUUUCAUAAAGGAAUGAUAGCCAUUCAACAAAUGGUGUUGGAACAGCCAGACAAUCAUGGGCAAAAAAAUGAACCUUCAUCUUAAUUUCAAAUCUUACAUAAGAAUUAACUAAAAGAUUUACAUGUAAAAUACAAAAUUAUACAAAUUUAAAGGAAAAAA